rnacentral:rRNA from 1 species
GAUGAACGCUGGCGGCGUGCCUAAUACAUGCAAGUCGAGCGAACGGACGAGGAGCUUGCUUCUCUGAUGUUAGCGGCGCGCGGGUGAGUAACACGUGGAUAACCCACCUAUAAGACGGAGAUAACUUCGGGAAACCGGAGCUAAUCCCAGAUAAUCUUUUGAAGCGCAUGGGUCAAAAGUAAAAGACGGUCUUGCUGUCACUUAUAGAGGGUUCCGCGCUGCAUGAGCUGGUUGGUACGUUAACGGCUUACCAAGGCAACGAUGCGUAGCCGACCUGGUAGAGUGAUCGCCCACCUUGGAGCGGGGACACGGUCAAGACUACUGCGAGAGGCAGCAGUAGCGAACCUUCGGCAAUAGGCGAAAACAUGGCGGAGCAACGCCGCGUGUGUGAUGACAGCCUUGCGAUCGUAAAGCUCUGUUAUUAGGGAAGAACCGAUGUGUAAGUAACUGUGGCGAGAUUGACGGUAACUAAUAAGAAAGCAACGGCUAACUACGUG